rnacentral:rRNA from 1 species
AUACAGGUCUCGAAAAGAGUCUUGUAAUUGGAAUGAGUACAGUUUAAACACCUUAACGAGUAGCGAUUGGAGGGCAAGUCUGGUGCCAGCAGCCGCGGUAAUUCCAGCUCCAAUAGCGUAUAUUAAAGUUGUUGCAGUUAAAAAGCUCGUAGUUGGAUCUAGAGAUGUUAGGAGAGCAAGGUCCAGUGGAAGACCCACUUGAGCACCGGCUCACCCAUCUCCUCCUUCCAGCCUCCCACUUCUGCUAUUAGUUUAGUGGAUGUGUAAGGAGGUCUGCUUUUCGAAGCUCACCUCUGGGGAACUGGAUCAUUUACUUUGAAGAAAUUAGAGUGUUCAAAGCAGGCGAUAUUUUAACGCCAUCGAAUACUGCAGCAUGAGAUAAUAGAAUAGGACCAUCUCUCUGUUCUGUCGGUUCGCGAGAGGUGGUAAUGAUUAAUAGGGUCAGCCGGUGGUACUAGUAUUUAGUUGUCAGAGGUGAAAUUCUUGGAUUUUCGAAAGACUAACAUCAGCGAAAGCAUUUACCAAGAAUGUUUUCAUUAAUCAAGAACGAAAGUUGGGGGAUCGAAGAUGAUCAGAUACCGUCGUAGUCUCAACCAUAAACCAUGCCGACCAGCGAUCUGGAGACGUUAUAUGGACGACUCCCCAGGCAGCUUGUGAGAAAUCAUAAGUCUUUGGGUUCCGGGGGGAGUAUGGUCGCAAGGCUGAAACUUAAAGGAAUUGACGGAAGGGCACCACCAGGAGUGGAGCCUGCAGCUUAAUUUGACCCAACACGGGAAAACUUACCAGGUCCGGACACAGUGAGGAUUGACAGAUUGAGAGCUCUUUCUUGAUUCUAUGGGUGGUGGUGCAUGGCCGUUCUUAGUUGGUGGAGUGAUUUGUCUGGUUAAUUCCGUUAACGAACGAGACCUCAUCCGUUAAAUAGUUGUGUUAACCUUUCCAUUUAAACCAUUGGAGUUGUGGCGUGGUACCCACUUACCUUCGGGUAUAGUGUUGUGUACCCCCCUCUCUUUUGGCGGUCUGGUUGACAGAUAUACUUCUUAGAGGGACUACCAGUGUUAUAACUGGGGGAAGUGAGGCAAUAACAGGUCUGUGAUGCCCUUAGAUGUUCUGGGCUGCACGCGCGCUACACUGAUCAGUUCAACGAGUACUACACCUUGGCCGAAGGGUCUGGGUAAUCUUUUGAAAUCUGAUCGUGAUGGGGAUAGACCAUUGCAAUUGUUGGUCUUCAACGAGGAAUUCCUAGUAAACGCAAGUCAUCAGCUUGUGUUGAUUACGUCCCUGCCCUUUGUACACACCGCCCGUCGCUCCUACCGAUUGAAUGAUCCGGCGAGAUCCUCGGAGUUUGGUCUCUUAGCAUUUCGGUUCGCUGGAAUGCGAGACAUGAAUGAAGUUGAUCAAACCUUAUCAUUUAGAGGAAGGAGAAGUC